CCAACAACUGUCUAUUAUCUGACACAUAUCUUGUUAUUAGACAAACUGUCCCAAUAACUGCCUAAUAACAGUCUAACAAAAAUUAUUAGGCAAUACGUCUAAAUAAUGUCCGAAACCGUCUAAUAACAUUUUUUUAAGACGCGAACAAUCAAAACCAAAAAUCUCGGCCAUUUUCAAUUCGCUUGAUUUGUCGCGUCUCGUUACUGUAGCGGUUUUGGAUUAAAGUUUGUAGAAAUAAACGUUCUUUGCAAAUGGAUAAUUUACAGCGUCUGGACAACAUCAAGUAUUCCGAACAAAUUAGAAAGACUGGAAUGCUCUAUAAGCAAAGGGAUAAAUUGAGGCUAAUUGAGAAAGACGCAGCAGAUCAUGGAUCAACGUCAGUUGAUGACGCUGGAUAUUCGAAUAUAUCUCAUGCGGAUUGCAGCAUAGCUGAUCAGAGUGAUAAUAUUGUAUCCGAUGAAUCGACUGUAUCCAUCGAAGAUUUUUUGGAAGAUGAAUCGGAAGAAGAGGUUAGUGGAGACAGUGAUGCUGAAGAAGGAGAUACCGAACGCUGUUCAUCAAGUUUGCCGUUUGCUGAUCGUAUAAGAGGAUGGGCAUUGAAAGCAAAUCUUUCACACUACAGCCUCAAUCAGCUUCUGCAAAUUAUUAAUACGUCAAAGAUCGAUAAACUACCCAAGGAUGCCAGAACGUUGCUUAAAACAAAUAGGGAGCGUGCAAGAGUAGAUAAAAUAGCAGGAGGAAAAUAUUGGUAUAAUGGAAUACAACAGUGUUUUUCCAACAGUUUUAAAAAUCAAAGCAUUCAUUUGGACUCGAUAUUGAUAAACAUAUCAAUCGAUGGGCUCCCUCUGUAUAAGAGUAGCCCUACUCAAUUUUGGCCUAUAUUGAUGAAUAUACAUGAAUUGCCAGACAUCCCAGUGAUGAUCGUGGCUAUCUUUUGUGGAUCUUCAAAGCCAGGCAGUAUAGAAGAAUUUUUAAAUCCUUUUGUUGAAGACAUUAACAAAGUCCAAGAAGAUGGAAUAAUGAUAAAUGGAAAAAAAAUAAAAGUAAAACUACGAGCAAUUAUCGCUGAUUCUCCGGCUCGUGCGUUUAUUAAAGGUAAGUUACAACAUCCUUUCCAUGAUAAAUGCUAACUAACUUUUUGUUUUAUUGCAGGAGUAGCUUAUUUCAAUGCCAAGCAUGGUUGUUUAAAAUGUACAUGCCAUGGAGGAUUUAGUGAGCUAUCGAAAACAGUGGUGUUUAAUGAUUUACAUGCACCAAAAAGAAUUGAUAGGCUGUUUCGCAGAAGGAAGUACGGAAAACAUCAUAAAUAUGAUUCGCCUCUAUUACGCAUAAAGAAUUUAAACAUCAUAGACGCUAUAAUAAUAGCAGAUACUCUACAUCUCAUUGAAUUCGGCGUUUUGCGGAAACUUUUGAAUGGUUGGAAAGAUCAAACCCUAGGACUAAAAACAAAUUGGUCAAAUGUAGGUCAUAUAAUAUCAGACAUGCUUAGGAAAAUGAAACUUCCUUCAGAAAUUCGAAGGAAAAUGAGAGGUAUAGAUUGUCUUGGACAUUGGAAAGCCUCAGAAUUUUACACGUUCCUUCGGUACACAAGCAUUCCAAUAUUGAGGAAAUUUCUUCCAGCUCAUGCUUUCAAACA